UUCACAUUUCCCGCAGUGCAUUCAAUCAGUAAACCGGGGAGCGUGCAACUCAAACGUCAAAACAAAUGUUGGGAAAAUUCACAUCGAAUCAUGUGCAGGUGUAUCAUCAGUACUCGCGUACAGUCUCACUGAAAAAGCCGAAAAAGAGCUUGCAAACAGACAUGCCAUAAAAAACAACUGAUACGCCUGCUGUCAACUGCAACAUAAAUAUUGAGAGCGUAAAAAACACAGCAAGCAAGAAAUACAUUGGAAAAUCAAUUCAAAUCCAAGAAAGCACAGCACAACGUAAAGAAGAAGCAUCCAAUUUUAGGAAAUCAAAUGAAAGCUGUUCAUAUGGCACAGAUCAUUUCUGUGUAUCAGCAAAACAAAUUCUCGAAUCUCUUUUAACUUAACUACUCCUAUGCAAACAAGCUACUUUUAAGGAUAACUACAACUACAACAAAGCACAUAUCGAACUGGUAUCUUGUAAGAAAAAAAAAGUUGGAAAAAUAACAGCGAAAUCCUUGCUACUAUCGUCAUUGGACCAGUCAACAGCUGCAAUAAAAGCAACCACAACAACAACAGCUGCCUAAGUCAUUACAAAACUUGUUUCGUUUCGCAUUUUUGCAAUACUCGUAGCGUUUUAGUCAACACGAAAAGUCGCUGCGAAAAUUCCGCAAUAUUCAGUGCUUUGGCGUUGGAAUAUGUUGAAGCAGAAGCGACAAGUAAAACAGCAGCCAAAAGCAAAGCCGUGGUUUAAAAGUUUAAUAAGAUGCAAAAAUGCCAAGGAGGCGAGCGGC